rnacentral:rRNA from 1 species
GGCGGACGGGUGAGUAACGAGUGGGCAACCUGCCCUAAAGUAGGGGAUAACAUCUCGAAAGAGAUGCUAAUACCUUAUAAGAUCCUCUCUUCGCAUGGAGAGAGGAAGAAAGGCGUAAGCCGCUUUAGGAUGGGCCCGCGUCCCAUUAGCUAGUUGGUAGGGUAACGGCCUACCAAGGCCGCGAUGGGUAGCCGGCCUGAGAGGGCGACCGGCCACACUGGGACUGAGACACGGCCCAGACUCCUACGGGAGGCAGCAGUCGGGAAUAUUGGGCAAUGGGGGAAACCCUGACCCAGCAAUGCCGCGUGAGUGACGAAGGUCUUCGGAUUGUAAAGCUCUGUCCUUGGGGAAGAAGAAUGACGGUACCCAAGAAGAAAGCCACGGCUAACUACGUGCCAGCAGCCGCGGUAAUACGUAGGUGGCAAGCGUUGUCCGGAAUUAUUGGGCGUAAAGGGCGAGUAGGCGGCCAGUUAUGUCAGAUGUGAAAGGCUAGGGCUUAACCCUAACAUGGCAUUUGAAACUGAUUGGCUUGAGUGUAGGAGAGGGAAGCGGAAUUCCUAGUGUAGCGGUGAAAUGCGUAGAUACUAGGAGGAACACCAGUGGCGAAGGCGGCUUCCUGGCCUACAACUGACGCUGAUGCGCGAAAGCGUGGGGAGCAAACAGGAUUAGAUACCCUGGUAGUCCACGCCGUAAACGAUGGGUGCUAGGUGUGGGAGGUAUCGACCCCUUCCGUGCCAUAGUUAACGCAAUAAGCACCCCGCCUGGGGAGUACGGUCGCAAGACUGAAACUCAAAGGAAUUGACGGGGGCCCGCACAAGCAGCGGAGCGUGUGGUUUAAUUCGACGCAACGCGAAGAACCUUACCAAGGCUUGACAUCCCUCGCUAUUUGUAGAGAUACAAAGUUCCCUUCGGGGACGAGGAGACAGGUGGUGCACGGUUGUCGUCAGCUCGUGUCGUGAGAUGUUGGGUUAAGUCCCGCAACGAGCGCAACCCUUGUACUUAGUUGCCAUCAUUAAGUUGGGCACUCUAAGUAGACUGCCGGUGACAAACCGGAGGAAGGUGGGGAUGACGUCAAAUCAUCAUGCCCCUUAUGUCUUGGGCUACACACGCGCUACAAUGGUCUGUACAGAGGGCAGCGACACCGCGAGGUGAAGCGAAUCCCAUAAAACAGAUCUCAGUUCGGAUUGCAGGCUGCAACUCGCCUGCAUGAAGUCGGAGUUGCUAGUAAUCGCGGAUCAGAACGCCGCGGUGAAUGCGUUCCCGGGCCUUGUACACACCGCCCGUCACACCACGAAAGUUGGUAACACCCGAAGUCGGUGAGCAAAACGCAGCCGCCGAAGGUGGGACUAAUGAUUGGGGUGAAGUCGUAACAAGGUAACC